rnacentral:rRNA from 1 species
GUGAGUAAUACGUGAGUAACCUGCCUUGACUCUGGGAUAAGCCCGGGAAACUGGGUCUAAUACUGGGUGCUACAUGUCACCGCAUGGUGGUGUGUGGAAAGGGUUUACUGGUCUUGGAUGGGCUCACGGCCUAUCAGCUUGUUGGUGAGGUAAUGGCUCACCAAGGCGACGACGGGUAGCUGGCCUGAGAGGGUGACCGGCCACACUGGGACUGAGACACGGCCCAGACUCCUACGGGAGGCAGCAGUGGGGAAUAUUGCACAAUGGGCGAAAGCCUGAUGCAGCGACGCCGCGUGAGGGAUGACGGCCUUCGGGUUGUAAACCUCUUUCAGCAGGGAAGAAGCCACAAGUGACGGUACCUGCAGAAGAAGCGCCGGCUAACUACGUGCCAGCAGCCGCGGUAAUACGUAGGGCGCAAGCGUUGUCCGGAAUUAUUGGGCGUAAAGAGCACGUAGGCGGUCUGUCGCGUCUGCUGUGAAAGCCCGGGGCUUAACCCCGGGUGUGCAGUGGGUACGGGCAGACUAGAGUGCAGUAGGGGAGACUGGAAUUCCUGGUGUAGCGGUGGAAUGCGCAGAUAUCAGGAGGAACACCGAUGGCGAAGGCAGGUCUCUGGGCUGUUACUGACGCUGAGGAGCGAAAGCAUGGGGAGCGAACAGGAUUAGAUACCCUGGUAGUCCAUGCCGUAAACGUUGGGCACUAGGUGUGGGGGACAUUCCACGUUUUCCGCGCCGUAGCUAACGCAUUAAGUGCCCCGCCUGGGGAGUACGGCCGCAAGGCUAAAACUCAAAGGAAUUGACGGGGGCCCGCACAAGCGGCGGAGCAUGCGGACUAAUUCGAUGCAACG